GUUAACUGGCCUAUAGUUCCAUGAUUUUUCUCCCGUUUUAAAUAAAAGGAUACAUUUAUUAUGUUUCUGUCCAAGAUAAUUGUUCAGCAUUGAGAGUAUGCUGGAUGGUUAAAACCAAAGGAUCCGUUAUCUCUGAAACAAGUCCAGAGGAUUUAUUAAGUUUAAGUGCCAAUAAAUUUCUCUGGUAUUAUAUCUUUACCUGUAAAAUCCACCUAAAUGCCUCCUUACCACUCAACACUUCAUUUCUUUCUAUUUCUAGAUUGGCUUGUGCGUCUUAAUUGGGAUUGAAAGCAAGGGCCCGUUGGCCUAAAUCCUAGAGUAUGAAAGGAAUUGGCAGCAGAGAUCGCAGAAUCACUUGUUGUAAUAGUCCUGGCUGCAGGAAAGAUACUGCAUGGCUGUGUGAGCAAUGAAAGGUGGAUGCCUGGAAUUGAUUGCACAAAAGACACAGAAAGAUAAAAUGGCACAGUUGGAGAACCUAUUUACCUGCUGUCAGCUGAACAAAAACUGCUAUCCUACUGGCAAACCUGGUAUUGCUUAUCACAUAAGCUGAAACACUAUCCCAUGAAUGAAGACAAGGACUCCAAGUUCCGGGUAGCCCAUCUCUUUUUGGUAUUUUCUGUAGUUCCUGAUCAACUGUAAAUAUAGCAGAUGCACACUCUCAUGGGACUUCUUUUUUGUGAAGAUUUACAGUGAUGUAACGAAAGACAAGAAGUCUGAAGCAGCCUCAAAAGGAACUGGUUAUAGCUUUUUCAUGUUUUGUUUCAUGAAUCUCCCCUUACCCCAAACAACGAGACUGAACUUUCUCUGAUGAAUUCAACCAUAUCUACUCAGAAAUGAAGCAACUUCAUGCUAUUCAAUGAAUUUGAAUGGUGAAACAGAAAACAGGAUAACAUUUUCUCAAAGUUAAUUGUACAGGAAUACAAAUUGGACAAUGACUGCUGGAUAUUAACAUUUAAACAUACAACUGCUCUGGAGCUGAAUGUGCUGUACUAUUUGAGCAUAAAUUAUACUGAGCAACAAAAGUAAUCAUUGAGAGA